rnacentral:rRNA from 1 species
AUGCAGUGGAUACAGAACAUUGAACAAUAUUUCUCAGCUGCAAGGACACCAAUUGAACAAAGGACUAAGAUAACAGUUUCUUACUUGAAAGGAGAAGCUAUACAAUGGUGGAGAGGUAUUGGUUUCAUUGCUUAUCAUACUCCUUGGCACAAGUUCUGCUCUGCCGUUACACAAAGAUUUGCCAUAACAUCUGUGUAUGAAAAUGUGAAAGCCUUCCACAAGUUAACUCAGCAAACUUCAGUUACUCAAUACAUAGCUGAGUUUGAACAACAUAUGAACUUGAUGAGGAGGGACAACCCUGCAGUACCAGAUGACUAUUACAUGCAUAGUUUCAUUGCAGGCCUGAACCCUUAUAUCCAAAGUCACCUGGAAUGUUUAGAACCUACUGACAUGACCAAAGCUAUGUGGUUAGCCAGAAUAAUUGAGAAAUCUUGCCCUCCUCCUACUACUCAGAAGUCCUAUGUGCCCAACUAUAGAAGAGGAACUCCAAGGGAAGUUUCUAAACCUGUAGUUCCUGCAAGUACAUCUCCUGCUGCUGUUAUACAACAAGCUAGAGAAAAGGGCAUUUGUUAUAAAUGCAGCGAGCCAUGGUUUCCAGGGCACAAGCAGGUGUGCAAGAUGUCACAAAAAGCUCACAUUCAAGCACUGCAAGAACAAGUGGAAAAUCCUGACAUCAUCUACAUUGUAGAUGCAGAGGAGGUACAGUCAGAUGUGGAUGAAGAACCUCCUGAUCACCAAGAGCUCAAAAUUUCUAUGCAUGCUGCUACAGGAGUACCUGAAGACAAAAAGAAACACACUUUUACUCUGCAAGUCCAAAUUGGAAACACAGUAGGCCUGGCUUUAGUGGAUAGUGGAAGCACUACCACUUUCAUUUCCCCUGCUCUAGCUUUACAAUCUGGAUGCCCUGCCACACCAGUGAAACAAGUUCAAGUGACUGUAGCAAAUGGGGGAAAAUUAUACAGUGAUUUCUCUCUCUACAACACCAAAUACACUAUCCAAGGAGUGGAAUUAGAGUCUGAUUUCAGGAUGUUGAAACUCACUGGAUAUGAUAUCAUACUUGGAGCUGACUCGAUGUAUAAGCACAAUCUUGUCAUUUUUUAUCUGCCUAACAUGAAGUUGGGAAUCAAACAUUCCAAUGGAAAACAAAUAACCCUUCCUGGAUGA